rnacentral:rRNA from 1 species
AACGAACGCUGGCGGCAUGCCUAACACAUGCAAGUCGAACGAGAUCUUCGGGUCUAGUGGCACACGGGUGCGUAACGCGUGGGAAUCUGCCCGCUGGUUCGGAAUAAGAGUUGGAAACGCCUGCUAAUACCGGAUGAUGACGAAAGUCCAAAGAUUUAUCGCCAGAGGAUGAGCCCGCGUAGGAUUAGCUAGUUGGUGUGGUAAAGGCGCACCAAGGCGACGAUCCUUAGCUGGUCUGAGAGGAUGAUCAGCCACACUGGGACUGAGACACGGCCCAGACUCCUACGGGAGGCAGGAGUGGGGAAUAUUGGACAAUGGGCGAAAGCCUGAUCCAGCAAUGCCGCGUGAGUGAUGAAGGCCUUAGGGUUGUAAAGCUCUUUUACCCGGGAUGAUAAUGACAGUACCGGGAGAAUAAGCUCCGGCAAACUCCGUGCCAGCCGCCGCGGUAA